GGUUAAGUGAAUAAGGGCGCACGGUGGAUGCCUUGGCACUAGGAGCCGAUGAAGGACGGGACUAACACCGAUAUGCUUUGGGGAGCUGUAAGUAAGCUAUGAUCCAGAGAUUUCCGAAUGGGGGAACCCAAUAUCUUUUAUAGGAUAUUACUUUUCAGUGAAUACAUAGCUGAUUAGAGGUAGACGCAGAGAACUGAAACAUCUUAGUACCUGCAGGAAGAGAAAGAAAAUUCGAUUCCCUGAGUAGCGGCGAGCGAAACGGGAAGAGCCCAAACCAACAAGCUUGCUUGUUGGGGUUGUAGGACUCCAAUAUGGUAGUCUGUUAGUAUAGUUGAAGGAUUUGGAAAAUUCCGCUAAAGAGGGUGAAAGCCCCGUAGACGAAAUGCUGACAACACCUAGGAGGAUCCUGAGUACGGCGGAACACGAGAAAUUCCGUCGGAAUCCGCGGGGACCAUCCCGCAAGGCUAAAUACUCCCUAGUGACCGAUAGUGAACCAGUACCGUGAGGGAAAGGUGAAAAGCACCCCGGAAGGGGAGUGAAAUAGAUCCUGAAACCGUGUGCCUACAACAAGUCAAAGCUCGUUAAUGAGUGAUGGCGUGCCUUUUGUAGAAUGAACCGGCGAGUUACGAUUGCAUGCGAGGUUAAGUCGAAGAGACGGAGCCGCAGCGAAAGCGAGUCUGAAUAGGGCGAAUGAGUAUGUAGUCGUAGACCCGAAACCAUGUGAUCUACCCAUGUCCAGGUUGAAGGUGCGGUAAAACGCACUGGAGGACCGAACCCACGUACGUUGAAAAGUGCGGGGAUGAGGUGUGGGUAGCGGAGAAAUUCCAAACGAACUUGGAGAUAGCUGGUUCUCUCCGAAAUAGCUUUAGGGCUAGCCUCGGAAUUGAGAAUGAUGGAGGUAGAGCACUGUUUGGACUAGGGGCCCAUCUCGGGUUACCGAAUUCAGAUAAACUCCGAAUGCCAUUCAUUUAUAUCCGGGAGUCAGACUGCGAGUGAUAAGAUCCGUAGUCGAAAGGGAAACAGCCCAGACCACCAGCUAAGGUCCCAAAAUAUAUGUUAAGUGGAAAAGGAUGUGGGGUUGCACAGACAACUAGGAUGUUGGCUUAGAAGCAGCCACCAUUUAAAGAGUGCGUAAUAGCUCACUAGUCGAGUGACCCUGCGCCGAAAAUGUACCGGGGCUAAACAUAUUACCGAAGCUGUGGACUACACCAUUAGGUGUAGUGGUAGGAGAGCGUUCUAAGGGCGUUGAAGGUCGAUCGUGAGGACGGCUGGAGCGCUUAGAAGUGAGAAUGCCGGUAUGAGUAGCGAAAGACAGGUGAGAAUCCUGUCCACCGUAUGACUAAGGUUUCCUGGGGAAGGCUCGUCCGCCCAGGGUUAGUCGGGACCUAAGCCGAGGCCGAUAGGCGUAGGCGAUGGACAACAGGUUGAUAUUCCUGUACCAGUUGUUUUUGUUUGAGCAAUGGAGGGACGCAGUAGGCUAAGGAAUGCAUGCGAUUGGAAGUGCAUGUCCAAGCAAUGAGUCUUGAGUAGAGUUAAAUGCUUUACUCUUUAAGGACAAGUUGUGACGGGGAGCGAAAUAAUAGUAGCGAAGUUCCUGAUGUCACACUGCCAAGAAAAGCUUCUAGUGAGAAAACAACUGCCCGUACCGUAAACCGACACAGGUAGUCGAGGAGAGUAUCCUAAGGUGAGCGAGCGAACUCUCGUUAAGGAACUCGGCAAAAUGACCCCGUAACUUCGGGAGAAGGGGUGCUGACUUCGGUCAGCCGCAGUGAAUAGGCCCAAGCGACUGUUUAUCAAAAACACAGGUCUCUGCAAAAUCGUAAGAUGAAGUAUAGGGGCUGACGCCUGCCCGGUGCUGGAAGGUUAAGAGGAUGGGUUAGCUUCGGCGAAGCUCAGAAUUGAAGCCCCAGUAAACGGCGGCCGUAACUAUAACGGUCCUAAGGUAGCGAAAUUCCUUGUCGGGUAAGUUCCGACCCGCACGAAAGGCGUAACGAUUUGGGCACUGUCUCAACGAGAGACUCGGUGAAAUUUUAGUACCUGUGAAGAUGCAGGUUACCCGCGACAGGACGGAAAGACCCCAUGGAGCUUUACUGUAGUUUGAUAUUGAGUGUUUGUACCACAUGUACAGGAUAGGUAGGAGCCGAUGAGACCGGAACGCUAGUUUCGGAGGAGGCGCUGGUGGGAUACUACCCUUGUGUUAUGAACCCUCUAACCCGCACCACUAAUCGUGGUGGGAGACAGUGUCAGAUGGGCAGUUUGACUGGGGCGGUCGCCUCCUAAAAGGUAACGGAGGCGCCCAAAGGUUCCCUCAGAAUGGUUGGAAAUCAUUCGAAGAGUGUAAAGGCAGAAGGGAGCUUGACUGCGAGACCUA
rnacentral:rRNA from 1 species